GAUGAACGCUGGCGGCGUGCCUAAUACAUGCAAGUCGAGCGAACAGACGAGGAGCUUGCUCCUCUGACGUUAGCGGCGGACGGGUGAGUAACACGUGGAUAACCUACCUAUAAGACUGGGAUAACUUCGGGAAACCGGAGCUAAUACCGGAUAAUAUAUUGAACCGCAUGGUUCAAUAGUGAAAGACGGUUUUGCUUUCACUUAUAGAUGGAUCCGCGCCGCAUUAGCUAGUUGGUAAGGUAACGGCUUACCAAGGCAACGAUGCGUAGCCGACCUGAGAGGGUGAUCGGACACACUGGAACUGAGACACGGUCCAGACUCCUACGGGAGGCAGCAGUAGGGAAUCUUCCGCAAUGGGCGAAAGCCUGACGGAGCAACGCCGCGUGAGUGAUGAAGGUCUUCGGAUCGUAAAACUCUGUUACUAGGGAAGAACAAAUGUGUAAGUAACUAUGCACGUCUUGACGGUACCUAAUCAGAAAGCCACGGCUAACUACGUG
rnacentral:rRNA from 1 species